AAAUGAAUUUUAAUAUUGGAAGCACUAUAUAUAUAAUAUUUCAUUCAGAUUAAAUAUUUUAGUCUUGAUUUUUAUUCUUAAAAAUCUUUUAAUGAAAUAUCAUGACAAGAUUUCAAUUACCUCAUUUUGAGUCUGUUCGAGAAUGAGAGAUUUGAUCAUUCAUCUAAUAUUUUUUUUCCUAAUACUCUAUCUAGCUAAUACAAUUGUAAAAAUGAGAGAUUUAGACUAUUUAUUAUAAAUUUCUGGUUUAUCAUUUAAUAAAUUACACAGUUCUUACUUUAUACACAUUUUACAUAUACUAUAAUGGUAAAGUAUUAUAUAUAUUUUUUUGUUGUUUUAGAAUUAGAUAAGUAAAAUAAGUUAAUAAAAUAAGUUUUAUUAAUAAAAUAAGUAAUUAGUUUUGCUGUUCUCGAAUUAGAUGAUUUUUAGACCGAACUGAUAAAUAUAUACUAGAUAUGCAUUUAUAUUUCGAGUCUAUAGUUAUAUUCUAUAACAACUUGAUAUAUUAGAUUUGAACACUAACCUGUGAAUAGAGUGCCAAUGAUUUUCUUCAAAAUUUUGAUUCUUAGAUAUGUAUCUGGAGUAGAACUAUUUUUUACAGAUGUCUAUCUUUUUUAAUUGACACUUAUGUAAUUCACUGAAUUCACAUAAGAAGUUUUUUUUUAACACCAAAUUGAUUAAUAAUUGCGAAGAACUAGUACAAAAAAUUGACACUUAUGUAAUUCAGCGAAUUCACUUAAGAAGUUAAAAAAGAAAAAAAACUCAUAUUAGUGAAACAGAAACGAGAAUAAAAGCACAAUUUUAUAGAUGUAGAAAAUGAAAUCACUUAUGUAGAGUCAAUAGUAAACAAAUCGAGAGCAGAAAACCUAAUCUCAUUUCUUUAUUUUACAAUCGAUGUUGUCUAUCUUGUUUUUGUGAUUUGUGCCAGCCGCAAAAAUUAAUUUUUUUUUGUGCAUAUGAAGUCUUAAAAAUAAUUAAAAUGAGUUGUCAUUCAUUAACUCUUCAACAACGACCAUACAUUUAAGAGACCAACAUUUGUAUUUGUCAUUUUGCAAUCGAUAAAGAUUAUAGUGUUGCAAAAUGUUAUCAUCUAGUCUAUACUAUUAAUGAACAAAUAUUAGUAUAAAAAACUCACCCUUCACAUGCGCGCGGGUAAUUAUCAUCUAGUCUAUACUAUUAAAUCAGAAUCUCUACUAGAAUUCUGCCCAUAGUUUUUAGAAUUAUUUAUAACGAUAUGCCAUUACUGUUUAAAAUUUUCAUUAAUAAUUAAAAUUAACCAGAUUUUCUCGUUUAUUUACUGCAUUUAAUUGAUUGAACUUCGUUUUUAAUAGCUUAGUCAUAUUUGGAAUAUAUAUAUAUAUUCAGUACAAAGCGUGGACAUAUUAUGCCUUAAUAAAAUUGGGUUCCAUUUUUAAACUUUGUUUUCAUUAUUAACUACUAUAUAUUAUUUACUUAAAAAAAUAAUUAUUAAAAACAAAAGUUAUUAAGCUAUAAUAAUUACAAAUUCACGUCAAAAAGGCUAAAAAAAUAAUUUGAAACAUCAAAUUACAGAAUUGGUCAAUUAAUUACUGCAUACUCAAAUAUUUAAUGUAAAUGUUAACUUAAAAUAUACAUUUGUUUAAAUAAAAGUUUUUCGCACUUUUAAAGAGCUGAUCAAAAUCUAGUUUUAAUUGAUGAUAUAAACAUUACUCAUCAACGAAAGUAACUAUAGUUUGAUUUAUCUUAAAAACUUUGUAAACCCUUCAGAAUAUACUACAUGGAGUGCAUUGUAUCAAUAUUAUUAAAAUAUUGUAAGAUGAUACAAUACUUAAUUUAAAAAAGGAGAUUAUAUAAUAUUUGAGCAAAAAAGGAAGAAGAUUAUAUAAUAGUUAUUUUAGAAAAGGAGAUAAUACAAUAUCUGAGCAAAAAAGGAAGAAGAUUAUAUAAUACUUAAAAUCGAAUUCAAGCAGUCAAUAGUCUUAACAAGUCUAUAUACCUGCUUUUUUUGUCCGGCACUUCAUAACCUCUAGCUAUUUAUAUAUACACCACCAACCCUUGACAAGUAUGUUUUUCAUAGAACUUCUUAAUAUUCGUCUCCUUUAAAUUAAACCCACAACACUCUCUCCUCUUCGUAAUCCUCAGCUCCCCAUUUAUCAUUGAGUUAGAAUGAAUCAAUCUUCAGCCGUAGCGGAAAAACCUUCACAGGGGCCGUACACAAGUCCACCGCCGAUUGGUUAUCCGACCAGAGAUGCGGUGGUUGGUGAUCCUCGGGUAUCGUCAGUGGAGACGAAGUCCAAGGGUGAUGGGUUUUGGAAAGGAUGGUACACAUUUAUCUUGAUUCGUAUAAUUAAUUUCAGAAAACGUUCUUCAUAUAUUUAUAAUUUUAACAAAACCCAUUGAAUUUUAUUCUGUAGACUAAUAAGUGCUUCUAGUCAUACGUUAAUCUUUUGGAAAAUAUUUAUACAGUACGCAAGUCUUUUGUUUAUUUUUUUAUUUUUGGGAAAAAGUCUUUUGUUUCUUUAUGGUCUGUUUUGUAAAAUUUAUGUGUUUCUCUAUUUUGCUGGAUUUUUUUUUUUUAAAUCACCAGAAUUUUUUUUUAAAAAUAUAUAAUUCAGCUUAUUUUUUUUCUAAAAAAAGUGUGUUCAUAUUUUAGUUAUUUCAACCUCUCAUAUUCUCAGCAUAAUAAUCGCAAAGAAACAAAAAGGCUUACAAGUUAAGCUAAGCUGGUCUUGUCUAUUGGCAGCACAGCUGCCAUAUGCUGCUGUUGUGUCCUGGACGCAUGCUUCUGAGACUUCGGAGUUAAAGAUUUUAUGCAGAUUAUUGCUGUAAUAAAAUAUAUUUGAUGAUUUGUUGUGUUACUUAAUUACUCUUUAUAUGUGGAAUAAACUCUGCCGAUGGUUGUUUUAGUUAUGUUUCGCAAUAUAAAAGAUCAUGCUAUA